UACGUAGGCAGCGAGCGUUGUUCGGAGUUACUGGGCGUAAAGGGUGUGUAGGCGGUUGUUUAAGUUUGGUGUGAAAUCUCCCGGCUCAACUGGGAGGGUGCGCCGAAUACUGAAUGACUUGGAGUGCGGGAGAGGAAAGUGGAAUUCCUGGUGUGGCGGUGAAAUGCGUAGAUAUCAGGAGGAACACCGGUGGUGUAGACGGCUUUCUGGACCGUAACUGACGCUGAGACACGAAAGCGUGGGUAGCAAACAGG
rnacentral:rRNA from 1 species